rnacentral:lncRNA from 1 species
CAGAGUCAACACUACCUUUUAACUCACUGGAUAGUUCACUUAUUUUUGCAGGCUUAGCCACAUCCUGUAUGUUCUUAAGGUCUGAAUGAUUAGUCCCUCUGGAAAGCAGAGGGAAGAGUUGAAGUUCGCAUGAUAGAGCACAUACAGCAGCAAGGACAUAAGAAUCAAAUGCGGCAACGGGUCCUUGUUUUUUCAUCUUCUUUGUUCGUACUUCUAUAUGCUUUCCAUUGGCCACUUGCAAAUCUUCACCAACUUCAUUAGAAGGAACGUAAUCUUCACCCUUUGCUCUCUUGUUACCCUUCGGUUGAGCUUCAUGACUGACACAUACUGUCAAAACUACAAACAGAAGGCGAGAGGCAAGUUCUACAGAUGCACAUGACUCCAGAAAUAGUGAAUGUACCAUUGUGCGAAGCUCUGCCACUGCAAGAUUUUUAGAGGCAGAGCCAAACACAUAUCUUGUUUUUCUAAUUUGUUCCCUUGAUGACUCAGGUGGAAAUGUUCUCUGGAGAAUUGCUUCAACAGUAGCAACAAAUAUUUUCAUGAGACAGGUUUCAGAAGGACUACCACGUGGAAGAUACUCAAGAACUUUAAGCAAGGGUAUGUACAAGUUCCAUGACAAAAUGGGAGGCUGCAGAGGUGUUGCAACUACAAUUUCAGGAAGAUCAACAGCAGAAGAACUUAAUGGUAUCAAGCCAUAUGCAGCUUCCCAUAUGGUACAUAUCCUCCAUUCAACCUCAGGACCAUGGGCACAAAGCAUUGAUGCAAUGCCUUGGGCAGUUGCUUCGACAGUGGCUUCUGCUCCAGGUAUUUCUUUCUGAUAGAAAUUUAAAGAAUUAUGCAUAUUGAACUAUAGUUAAUAGAAAACAUGGUACAGGGUAGUGAAGCAAACCAGAAUGAAAGCCAUAGAGUAUUUGUCAAGCAUCAUUGCCCAAAAUUUACCUGCUUUCUUUCACGUGAAAUGUAGCCAACAGUAGGCCCAUGUUGCACUUCUAUCCCUUCAACUUGUCGUAGUGGUGGGAAGAGUAAAGCAGGCUGUGAAAGUACUCGGAAGAGUAAAGCAGCAGCAGCAUCUGCAGCAAUUCCUGCUCUCAUUGACAUUGCAAUCCCAAUUGCACGUAGGAAAUGCAAAUGCAUCCAAUUCCUUGGUAGCUUCACCAAUAAAAGAAUAGCUCAGACCUUUUAACGCUAUAUAUCAACAGCUCUAUAUAUGAAUAUACCUCUUAAGUACAGAAAAUUUAACUUGCAAGUUAGUUAUGAGAAAAGAGAGAAAUUAUAAUUCAUCACAUCCAAUGUAUAGUUGUUUAGCAUUAGAACAUAGAUGACAGGAAGCACUCUUCUCUAUAGUCAGUAAAGAAAGAGCAAUUUGAUAAAUUGACUUCAGUGCAUUGCUUGACAGCAUUACUGCACAUUUAGGAUCAAAGGCCUAGAGUUAAGCAUCUCGAAAAAAGAGAGAAAAAAGGUGUACUAUACUGAUGCUUUUAGGCAAUUGAAAAAAAACGAAAUUGUUUGGCAGGAAAAGAAAAGAAAGAGUUUCAUGGAGGAAAAACAAAAAUUGGUCAACUAUACAUAGUGGAACAAAAACUAGUGUGCUUCUUCGUGCUCAUGGCCCAAAGAUUAUCCUAAUUUUCAGGGAUUUUAAAAGCACUUUGAAAUACACCUUAUUCAACAAGUUGAUGACAACCAGCACAUAUAAAUGAAAAAAGACCAUAGAGAUUCAGCAUACCCUCAUUCCAGAUGCAUAUUCCUCUGCUGCCCGUAACAGUUCCACUAGCUGAACAGCAGCAUCGAGUGCAUCUGGGGCCCAUGAUGGAGGAGCUUCCAAAAGUCCAAGUAGAAGUCUCUGCGUUGCACUUGGACUAGCAAUGGCAUAAUACCUAAUGCAAAGAAGGAAUUAACAACUCCACUGGAAUUCUUUUCUACAACAAAAAUCAUUUAGAAAUUACCUAUGAAAGAGUCGUGCAUAAGGCUCAAGAGCUGGAAGCCCAGCAACAAGAUGUUCAUCCAUUGCUGUUGUAGGGGGUGGAAGCAGAAGUGCAGGAACAGCAGCAGCAGUUAAGGUAGCAGUCUCAUAACGAGCUACUUCCUCAUCACAGACACUUAAUAUAACACCAGCACCAUUAGCAACUGCCCACCUCGGGGUUGAUGGCAUUAGUUGGGGAUGCUUUCCAGAUCCACGAGAAGAAACUAAAUAGAAGAUAUAAUUGAGUGAUUGUCAUUAUUGCCAAAUAUAUAUAUAAAAAAAAAGUCUGCAUAGAUAAUGGUAACUAGCAUAUAAAUAAGAUACAAGAUGAGCUAUUCAAAAUUUUAAUCUGAAAAACUUUCACUGUUGGUAUGUUGAAAUGAAGCUUUUAUCACAAUCCAAAACAAUAAAAAGAAAGAUCUUCACUCCAUGUGAUAUUUGAAGGCCAACAUUGAAGCCACCAAUGCUCAAAGCUCUCAAGCACCCUUUGUUACAGUUAUUUCUAUGAAGAGUUCCAAACUGUAGAUCUAUCUUAUUUUCUAAAAAGUAGAAUGCUCUCAGCAGGUCAGUAUUUGGAUAAAUUUAUGAAAUAAAAUAUUUCUGAAAAUAUUAUCUUUGCCACAUGAGCUUAUGUUUAGCCUAACACUUCACAAGAGACAUGCAUAAUUACUGAACCUCAAUUGUAAAAUCCAUAUAUUAAAACCCAGUGUAGAUAAAACGCCAAUCAAAGACAAACAAUUUUAUCAAUCUUUUUCAGGUUACAUAUACAGGGAUGCAAGGUCGGCUUUCUAUAGUCUAAGAUAAUUCUCAAUUCAACUUCAGCCACUUUUUGUUAGUUGAGAGAGAACUUUCUAGGCUCAAAUCAUUCAAUCUCGUGAUGAAUGGAAAUUAGACCACUUUGGUGUUAGUGCCAUCCGGGAGCUUUAAAGAGCAAUUGUACAAACUGGCAAGAAAUGAAGUUUUUGCACCCCUCACUGCUUGUGUUGCAUAUGCACUUAAAAACCAGACCACAUGGUAGAUUAGUUGAUUCAGGCUUAUGUAGCUAUUGUGUCAUGUUCCUUGAUUACCCAGUUUGUAUUAUAAAAUUCCUCAAAAGCAAGUUAAAACACUGACAGGGACAUCUGUUUAAGAAAUAGAGCUCCAGACACAAUGCCUUUAGAGAAAUAGUACUCCCUCCGUCCCAUUGUUAUUGUCAUAGUUAACCUUUUUUCAUGUCCCAAAAUUUGAGUCACACUACAAUUUUUUUCUUUAACAUUCCAUUUGUAGCCUCAAAAGAGACAUUGAUAAAAUAAAAAACAAGUAUGAUGGAACCCACAAAAGCAAUAAAUAGACAUCCAAAAAAAAGGUGCGUGGACAGCACCAAAAAUUUUGAUGGCCAUAAAUAGGCGCGUGCUUGGCAACAGCAUGAAAAAGAGUUUACAUUUUACAUGGACCCACAGAUUCUUUUCACAUCACCAUAGACAGCAAUUAAGAUUUGAUAUCGGUCAAAGGGGCACGAUUGGAAAAAAAUGUCUCACAUUCAAAUUGAUUGAACUGUGCAUAAUAAGUUAGAAUCCCCAAAAACGUCCCUUAUUUUGGGACGGAGGGAGUAUUAGCUUGGGAGGUCAACCGAAGCUUUUGGAGCUCUGACAGACAGAAAAGUUGUUUAAAAAAAAAAAAAGGAUUUCAGGUUAGCAAGUGAAAAUACAUGAAUCACUAGAACACAUAGAUGACUGCAUCAACUCACUGUUUCGCAAUUUCUCAUCCAAUUAUGAAAUCUCACAUGGAUUGUGUUGAUAGGCAUACUAAAUAUUGCAAAUCAGCUUCCAUAUACACUGCCAAAGGUGACUAAAUUAUAAGGCUAAAAAAUAACUAUGCACUUACAGAAGCACAGGCAGAACGUAAGGCCAAGAAAUAGGAUCAGAAAGUUUCGCUUGCUAAUACACCCAGAAGUUACUAAUGCCCUAACUUAUUCAGUCUUUUUGAUGACCAUGCAUGUUAAAAUCCUAACAACAUUGCACAGAUCAAAUCAAUAAACUUUUUAAUUUGCUAGUGUCCAAUUAAUAAAAUCCAUACACUGAAAGAAAUACAAUAAUUUAUCUACCAGCCAAAAAAUCCAUUGAACUGAUCAAACAAAUAAAUUUUUUAAGUUUACACACUUAUGAAGUUGCUUUAUAUUUGUAUAUUCUAAUUUAAGGUUAAACAUAGUAUUGGACCUUAAAAGUUUUUCUUUGAGUUGAUACUCUGAGUUGACAAAUCUCAUAUGAUUUUUUGACAAACAUUGAAUUGACUUGAAGUCUUAUAACAGCUUUUGUCAUAAGCUCAGAAAACGAUCUAAAUCAAUCGAUCCUUGUUGCACACGUAUCAAUAGACAGUUUCACAUGAGUUAUCAACUUUAUUUUUUCUGCCAGAACCAAAUAAGCUAGUAUGACUCUAAAACUGUUGGUAAUAUUUGAUUAAUUGUCAAAUUAAAAGUACUUUAAAACUCUUCCCACAGUCAACAGAAGGGAGUCACGUCUAGGACUCCAAAACAUGAACUCAUUCCAUAAUUGAAAUCCACUAACCUGUUGAAGGUGGCUUGAGUUCUCCAGCUGCAUAUUUCCCCAUAACACCACCACACCUAUUGUCAGUCAAGUGUUUCCAAUGUCAGGAACACAAAAGCAAGUUAUAAACAGACGUAGAAUUGCUAUGUACUACACAGAUAUCCUAUAUGGUGAGAAAUUGAUUUUGUUUCUUUUGAUACAAGUGGUUCUUGAAACACCAAGAUUUUCAACCAGCAUACAAUAACAGACUUCCAAUAAAUGGUUGUCAUUCACGCAUGUACAAAUUUUAAUCAUCUUAGGUUUAUGCUGGCUAAUAAACCCACUAAAACCAGAACUGCAUUGCUUAAUCGCAAUAUAAACCGUCCAAUGAGCAAGAGAUAGAAGACAUGAGAGAAAGUGUGGAUAACAAAAGUAAGUAAACUAUCUCCAGAGGACCAAAACCCAGCGAAUUGACACUGCUAAAUCCUGUUCCUGCCUAAAAGAUUUACUCCCUACAUAUGACAAUGAGAAGAAACAAACAUCCAACCCUUUGUUAUGACAUCACAUAAAAGUGUUAAAAAUAAUACAAUACAAACUUCACCAACAAGACUCAAAAAAUAUCUUCUAAAUCAGUUUUGGGUCACCAUGCAUUGGGUCCCACUUUUCCUAAUGAGGAAAAGAACGAAAAUGAAGAAGAAAAUAAAAGAAAACCAAAGAAAGGAAUUACAUUUGUACACUAAAGAAGCGAAUAUCAAUAAGUCAGUGGUGGGAUGCACCGAGAUUAUGAAUCAACUAUCAACCACAUAGACAAGAAUACAAAGAGGCAUCUAAAAAUCACAUGAAAUAAAAAAAUAAAAAUAAAAAUAAAAAAACAGUUUACUUGGUCUGGUUUUCUCUGCUUCCCUUAAUAACCGAAGUGUGCCCAUUUGAAGAUUUUUAGUUUGCAAAGGUUGUAAAACCGUGCAAAUGAAUGGCAAAGAAGUAGGAACACCAAGUUUCUACAUGAACACUAAUCAGCAUAACUAAUAACUAAUAACAGCAUCUCUAGUUUACUUAAGGAGAAUUAGAAUGUUUUCAUGCAGCUACAGAACUUACCAACGGAAGUAGUCACUUCUGAUACCUAAGGGAGCAGCAAGCAAUAUAUCAGUAAUCCAGGGAGACAAUGGCCUCAGGGGUUUCCUGUCAUGUUGUGAAGAAGAUAAGCUCGGUUCUCCAUCUGCAUAUUUGCUAGUGGAAACAUGUUUGCCACUGUUGUUUCUAUCUGCAUCACUGUCAUUAUUCUCAACCUUGUAAACUGGACGGUUAUAAUGAGUUAGGAUUCGCAAAAUCUCUCCACAUGCAAGAGCCCAUUGUUCAGAGUACUCAUUCUGUAAUUUCAGAUUUAAAAUCAUCAGGAUUAUGCAUCCUCAAAUAUCAGAACACAGGAAGCCUUAGCAGGUAACAAGUACGAAAUUAUUUCCAAAAUUUAAUCAGGAAACUUCAAGAGAAUCUAUAUUUUUAAAUUUACACAGUAAUCGAAAUACCUCACUGCUUGGGCAGACCAGGGAAAUGAAAGAAGCAAAAGGAGGGCAAUUCUUAUCAUACUCCAGCAAACCAUCGAUAAUGCAUGAUAUAAUUGGAAGAAUGACAGCAUGCCCAUGCUCCGGAUGGUGAAGUACAAAAGUUGCUGCAGAGCAAAGAGCAAAGACCCAGCAUUUAUGUUGCACAAGCAAUAAAAGAAUCUUUAGAUUCUAGGAAUGAUAACAUGCAUUAAUGACCUACAAUCCUAUAUAACCAGUACCUAGUACAUCAUCAAAAAGUCGAUUUUCUUCAGAUGGAUAUCGAUUCCGGAUCAACUGCAAACCAACAACAGCUAAAUUUUAGAAACAUCUACAGCAAGUUCACUAAGUUAUUGUCACUUUCUGGAUAACAAUGCAGAGUGGAGAAAAACUAUCAACUUUCUUCUGACAGUUUUUCUCAAUCAAUAGGUCAUCAAAGUUAAAGGCAACAGAAAUUACCUCCGCUAUAUCCUCAGGAAAUGCUUCCGAUGUAAACUGACCAAAGUACUCAACAUAAGCAGUAAUUUGAGCCUAGAAAAAGGGAUAGAGCUUGAACUAAUGAGCAACAAUAAAAAGGAAAGUAGAGCAGCCAAAUGUUUAUUUAGAGAAAACAUCAAGGCAAUUAAAAAAAUUAUUCCAAUAAAUGAAGUUUCAGCUCUACAUUUCAACAUGAAGACACAAGAAGCAAAUAGAUUUUACACCGAUUGACAUAAUGAAUCUUAACAAAUUCAGAAAAGUACAUGCUGUGACAUCAUCUGAUUUAUUUUAGCUUAAUCUUAAGGUGUAACCUGUCAUACCUAACCAGCUUAAGAUCCCUGUAAACUUGAUUAUGAUAAGUAAUUCCCAUUCAUUGAUUUAGUUGUUUACAUCUACAACUAAUGUCCCACCCUCUCAUUGUUGGAGAACUACCCUAGGCAAAAUUGCAUGGCUUAAUUAUUUGUGUUCUUAAGCAUCACAUCCGAAGUAUCCACACAUAAUUGUACUAAAUUCUAGCCACACAAGCCAAUACAUAUCAGCGUCACAUGACUACGAGAAGUGAAUGGUAUAUGGCUUAAAACAGCUUCACUUUCUACUCGUUGAUCAUCAAGUUUACAUCAAAGCAAAAGAACUUUUGUCCUCAUGAAAAGUAAGAUAGUAAUUUCAACACUCUUCAUAGUCAUAACAAUUCCCUUCUGACAAUCUUCUUUAAGAUCAGUUCAGUUGUAAAGUUUUAACAAUGAUGCUAACUACAUGUACAAGAAUCCACUUGUUGACUUCUAUUUUAGCUAGUUAACGUGCUGUUUGACCCUUCUAAAAGGAACUGCACGAGCCAACUCAUGAGAAAUAUGCUCGGGAAAAACCUCCACAAAUUGAAACCAAACCCAGGACCCAGCCCCUGAUUUCAGAUUCAAAGCAUUUAAAACUGGUGUAACCCACUGUUAACAAUAGAAUUUAUGAUAAAACUAAUUGUUUGAAUGUUAAAACUCCAAAUCCAGGUCAGCAUCUCCAUACUGGAAAAUCAUGUCCAAAAAAGGGAGAAAUUAAUACUAGCAAUCAUUAUACUCCAUUGUAGUGGUUGCUUAAUUAAGCAUUGUCUCUUCCUGGAUUUAAAGUCUAAGUCUCAUUAGAUCCAUCAAUUACUAUAAAUUGUGGUGAGAAAUUUAAUAUGUGCUUGUAUUAGGAUAUGCAUGCACAAGUGUAAAAUCAUUUUCAUAUGGACAACUCAAUUACUUUUCUAUUUAAAAGUAAAGUGGCACCAAGAUGGAAUCAUCUAUGGACAUGAAAAGUUUUGGAUUGUACCAAUACACGUUAACAGCAAGGAAAAAAGAACCAAAGAUGAAUUAAAGGACUAGUUACAUCUUACAAAGUUUCUUUUACAAAUGAUUAGGAUUUUGCUAUAUUUGAUCUUAUUUAUUUUACUCUAGAACCUUUAACAUGAUCCUCAAAUUUGAUCAAAUUACUUUUCCCCAGUUGCAGGUAACAGAUAAACAAGGAUUUUUCCUUCAUCAAAAUCUCAUUAUUAGUAUCAACUGAGGAAUAUAUUAAAUCUAAAUAGGCCAUAAAAAGAUGGCUUGCUUGUUUGGGCUCUAGAAAGGACGAAUUUUUUCAAGCUUCCAUGAGUAAAACAACAUGCACCUUCAGAAGCUACAAAAUGCAGAAUAAGACUUGCUUUUUGUAUACGAAACUCUUCAGAAGGCUAAUGCUCAUCGAAUUUAUUAAAAAAAAUUACUCUUUACCUUAUGUAAUUCAGAAACAUCUUAUUCUAUGAUUGCCAAUUCCAUGUGGUUUUGGAGUUAAUUCAUAAGAUCAUGGAUACAGAUAUCAAUUACAAUGGAAACAGUAAUAGAUUGCAGGAGAAGAAACACAAUAGAGUAAUGAAAUUGACAAGUUCAACACAUAAAUCAGAAAUAUCAGAAACAUGUCAUUUAACUUCUAUUGAGCAGCUAGACUUCAGCCAAAGAGAACCAGAGUCACAUUUUUUAUUGAGAACACGGAGGAAAAAAAAACUUGUGUCAUGCGUAUGCAUCUAAAAGGUAAUAAAGAAAGGUACAUCUCUUUAAUACAACAAAUCGCACCUUCCUUUGCUCUGCAUCUUGUGGCGGAGGCCAAAACAAUGAGGAGAACUGAAGCCCAUCUAUCCACCUCUCGCAUGAAGCAGCCAUAUGAGGAUCUAGACAGUACUUUCUAUACUAAGAAGAUGUCAUCAAGAAGAACAGCCAUAAGCCCCAUUACAAGAACUACCAAUCAAGUAUCAAAAGACAGUAAUUCAACAUUUCUCUGAAGUUGAAACAGGGGAUACUCCAGAUCUUUCGUUCAGUUACUUAUAGCACUCACUCAGCUUAAGCACCAAGAUAUCGAAAGCAAGAUAUUAUUUAGCGAUAAAUUUCUCCAGAUGAAAUUAAUUAUAGCCAACUACAACCCUUAUCCCUGCACCAAUAAUUACCAUAGUUAAGCACCAUUAAACAGAGUCUUUUACAAGAUUAAUCAAAUUUUCAACAAUCAAGAACGAAUAAAAUCACAAGAUAACAGUAGAAGUCCUCUGCAUAUGGAAGAAGCAAGAGAAAUUCUGAAGUAAAAAAUAUGAUAAAAAUAAAAAUAAAUAGAAAAGUAGAAGCAGCAUCAGUCCAAGCUGGGAAAGAUUUUAAAGUAAAACUUAUCAUGAAAUAGCAGCAAUAAAACUUGGGUUAUCUUGCUCCAGCUAAACAAGGAUAUAAUAACAACAUUCAGUUUACAAGUUAAAUUAUGAAACUGAGCACUCCUGAAAUUCCAGAAACAAUCAGCAAUCCACGAGUAUCAUAAUCCUUACCUUGCAUAUGAAAUAAAUCCACCCAAAAAAAAGGUAAUCUCAAAGAAAAACCACUCCAGGUAUCCAGUCCAUCAAAUACAUAAACACAUAGCCCACUUAUUAUCCAAAUUACAACUUUUAUUUCAUAUUUUCCACGAAGAACAG